AGUUUCUAAUAUCAGACGAGCUACAUAUAUCCAGGGUAACAGACUACAAGCAAUUGCAUAAAUAAAUCCUUUCAAACAUUAAUUGAGAUCAAAAUCACAAACUAAUGAUUCCACAAUAUAGAUACUUCCACUACAUUAAGUAGUGUAAUCAAUACAAUUCAAUUUUUUUAUCGCCAAUGUUGGUAUGAAGGUUAACUCAAUGUAGGCUGAGUUCAAAAGGAAUGUGCAAUAUAUUAGACUUUUCUGGGAGAGCAAGGCUUGAUCCAGAUACAUGGCGUUUCAAAUUUCUAUACAACGGCCCCUAGAGAUGCCAACAAAGGAAUCCUCAAAUAUUAACUACCAAAUACAGUUAUUACAUAACCGAUAGAUGAUGUUACAAUUCCAAGCAAACUACCAGCAAUGACCUGUAAUAUGAAUUUGAAAUAUUAACAAGGGAAACCACCACUAGUAAAAAAAGACAACUAAAGUAAGCCUACUUUCAAGGAUUUUCAAUUGUUCAGUUUAAAUUGCACAGAGAUAAGUAGAAAAUGAUAUGCAGAAUGCCACAGCAUGGGAGUGCCACAGUAUUUCCAAAAAGUGUAGCAGUGAAAUAUAUAUAACCUUAUUAACGAAUUGAAAUCUCUGUAUUGAUAGAUCUAACAUUCACUUAGAACUAUAUAUAAGAUAAUAAGAGCAGUAUUGUAUCUUGAUUCCUGAUAGUACUGAAACAAACAAUGUAUAUAACCCUAGGAAAAUAUCAUCUUAACAUUUCAAAGAAAGUAAAACAUGGUAACACAUACUAUGAUAGGCUUGAAUGUUCAUAAAAGUCAAAUUAGUAUAACACAAUCAUCACCUACUGUACUCAAGCAGUAGCAGUUAUAUAUAUUUUUUGAUAAAGAGUAGUAGUUAUAUAUUGAGUAAAUAACAGGAUGCUCAUUAAGCGUCUGUUUUGUAAGUCCAAUAAGCUAGCUAAUAGCUAUAGCUUAUUGGACUAGCUUAUAAGUUUGUUU
rnacentral:lncRNA from 1 species